GGGCCGUUAGCUCAGUUGGUAGAGCACCGGACUUUUAAUCCGUUGGUCGAAGGUUCGAAUCCUUCACGGCCCACCA
rnacentral:tRNA from 1 species